AAAUAGUGCUCUCUUCUGAGAGACUACACCACUGUCCUGCCAUUCUAUCCUCACGGAUGUUUGGUAUGGUUAUUGUGUCCACCCAAUUGUGAAACUUUACUAUUGCUUCGGCAGCACUCUCAGUGGGCAACCGCUGGAGGGGUAAGGCUGUCAGAGGCCCAUAUCAAAACCAGUUGAUGAAAUGUCAUGCUGUCUGAUAUCUAUCAUAUUUGAGAAAUCAAAUUACGUUA
rnacentral:misc_RNA from 1 species